rnacentral:rRNA from 1 species
GAGGGGUUUUUGCGUCUGAUUAGCUAGUUGGAGGGUAACGGCCCAACAAGGCGACGAUCAGUAGCCCGGUCCUGAGAGGAUGAACGGCCACAUUGGGACUGAGACACGGCCCAGACUCCUACGGGAGGCAGCAGUGGGGAAUCUUCCGCAAUGGACGAAAGUCUGACGGAGCAACGCCGCGUGAGUGAAGACGGUCUUCGGAUUGUAAAGCUCUGUUAUACGGGACGAACGGCAAGGUGGUAAAUAGCCAUCAUGAGUGACGGUACCGUAAGAGAAAGCCACGGCUAACUACGUGCCAGCAGCCGCGGUAAU